rnacentral:ncRNA from 1 species
UAAUAUAUUAGCGCCAGGACAGUUUUGCUGUUGACGAGGAUAGAGGUUAUCGAAAUAUUCGGCGGAUACUCUAUGGCAUGCUAUUGUCAGAAAUAUUGUAAAAAAAUAUUAGCAAUAAUAUAACAAAGCAA